GAAACCAAUUUGUUGUAAUUUUCUCUACCACCAAAAGAUAUUGUUUGUGCUGGAAGAAAGGGAUGGAAACACUGCUAGAGGUAUUGGAAACAGUUAAUAAGUAGAUAAGCACCAAGAAGAAAAAUUUCUUUUGUCUGUCAAAGCCCUCCGGUGUUGCCAAGACUUUUUGUGUCUGAUGUUUGAGAGAGACAGGGCUGUUCUCUUCAAAGGCUCGUGAGAAAAGAAUCAACUUUGCAACAUCUAAAGAACAGAGGAAGAAGCGCCAUGAAAAUUACAGCACUCUGAUCAAUAAGGAUACAAAAUGAGAGGAACAGAAACAGUGAUUUCUGCCCUUCCCAGGCAUUUCACAUUUUGGUAAACACAGAUAUUUGUCUGCAAUUACUUUCCUCUGAGAGUUGUAUUUUCUGGAGCCUUUUCAAAUGAGAAAUACUGGGAACUGAGCGGAGCUCCCACUUCAAGUGUCAGGGUCAGAGGAGCGGUGGUGAAGUGCCUCAGUACAUCACUUGAGUGGAAGAGCUUUCCAGUUAAUAUACUUAGGAUUUACAUGAGGUUUAUCUCCAGCCAGUGUGAGAUCUGAAAGCAGUUUCAACAGAGCAGAUUCAAGAAAUAAAAGACCAGUCUCAAUAGAUGCAGCCAGUGAUAGCAACCAACGUACUCCAGAGAGAAUGUGCCCCCAAACCAUGAUGAGCCUUGUGGACUAUGACAGAAAAAAAAAAAGGAGACAGGUUUGUAGUGCACAGAAUCCUUAACUUUAAAGCAUAAUGAAAUCUUAGAAAGCUCUGCUUGAAUUGUAAAAUUUGCCAAGUAUGUGAACCCCCAUCUUCCCUUUUAAUCUGAGUUCACCCGUCCUAGUUACAGGAAGACCUGUCAUCUGCAUGAAGUCACCUGAUACCUAUUUUAGGGCAAGUGAAUGGAUCAGUUUUUACCAAAAUCAAAUCCUCGAGCUAGAGUUCCAAGGUGUCAGAAAAACAUGGGUGAAGAUAUCUGCUGUGAUAAUUUAGCUGUGUGACUUUGAACAAAAUGCCUAACUUUACUGACUUUGUUUUCAUCUGUAUAGCAGGAACCAUCAUACGAACUGCACAAAAUAGCUCUGUGGAUUAGUGAAAUAAGAAAGGAGGUUAAGCACUGUAGGAGAACAGAAUAUGUCACCCAAAAAUGUGUCUCUUUGG